rnacentral:miRNA from 1 species
CGCGCGUCUCCGCGCGACUUGCCACAGAUCCGGAGUCUGGGCCGGGUGGGCGGGGCACAGCGGAGAAGAGCGGAGCGGGGCGGGGCGCGCGGA